rnacentral:lncRNA from 1 species
UUAACUAAUAGUUAUUGCUCACGAUCUUGUGGUUGCAGUCAAGAUGUCAGCACGGACCAUAGUCCUCUGUAGGCUUGACUGGGGCUGGAGAACCAGCUGCCACUAUGGCUCAGUCCUGUGACUGUUGGCAGGAUGCCACAGUUCCUCUAUUCAUGGGCCUCUCUAUAGAGCUGCUUGAGUGUCUUCUUAAGUUCCAGCUUCCUCAAAAGUAAGUAAGUCAACAGAGGGCUAGGAGUAAGCCAAAAUGCCUAUGAUCUAUUCUCACAAUGCACCAUCAUCUCUCAUUUUCUGCUCAUUAGAAGCAAGUCAUUAAGUAUAGCCCACACUAAAGGAAGAAGGGAAUUAAGCUGUACCUCUUGGAAGGAAACCAAAGAAUGUUUGGACAUGUUUUUUAAAUCAACACACUAUCUGAAGUUAAAGCACUCCAGUAAUUGUAGAGCAGGGGUCAGGUGUAAAAAGAGGUAAAACUAGAAUCAUAGCUGCUUCUUUCUGCUGAAAAAGUUUUCCAGUCCUUUGGAGCUGAGAGACUAAAGGUAGAAGAGGACAGCAACCAGGAACUAUAAUAUUUGGGUUGCACAGCCUCCAUUUAUUAAUCCCCACAAAGGAUAUUUAUAGAAUGUUAUUAGAAGCUUUAAAAACAAGGAACCUAAAAUAAAAGACAUUUAAAGUUCUCUGAGCAAAUUGUGCACUGUGGGAUUCAUUGGUAACAACUCCCUUGGUCUCCAAAAAGUUUGAAAUAUUAGAUGAUUGACCCUGCACUGCUCCUUAAAGGUACAGGAAUCAUGGGUGAGGAUCAGCUAUAGACUUGUUAGGGUAAAUAACUGCUGAAGCAGAGCUAAGAAUUGGAGCUGGCUGGAGUCAGAGACCCCAAACUGCUUUGUUCUUUCACCAGAGGCAAACAUAGCACCAUGUUAUGUUUGGGUGGAAAUUGCCAACCAACAAUCAUGGACUACGUAUAACCUAUAGGCUUGUUUUGUUUUGCCUACAAUGUGUUUUAUAAAAAUAUUAAUUUAUUUGCCAUUAUUGACAAACUUGAAGAUUUUGCAUGAAAAUCUGGAUUGAAAAUGAGAGAUCUAGGAAUAGUGGGAUUGGAGUUGAGAUGAAGUCUCUUCCUUUGGAUGAGGCAUGCCCCCUCCUUGAUUCAGUCCUCACCACUCUUUUCUCACAAUCUGCCUGCUUCAUGCACUUACAUCACUGCCCACCUCUGUUGGUCUGGCAGUUUACAACAUUAAUCCUGUGGUUCUAAGGAAUGGUGAUGCACUUAUUUUCACCAAAAAAAAAAAAAAGACUAGGAGACUUAUACUCUUUGCUUUGAUAGUUGGAGCACUUGGAGUACCAUGGACAACAGAUUGGAAACAGGCAUCUUAAUGCUCAUUCCAAAACAUGUCUGCUGCGAUCUCAUUUGAGCCUUUCCUGGGCCCCUUUGAAACUAUUAAGUCAUCCUCCUCCCAUGGUAAAAAAUCUUGGAUGGGGUCAGGCUAUGCUCUGUAUGGGUAGAAUAGAUUCAUGAUUUUCAAACUGAGGUAUGUGUUCCUAAAGGCAUGCAAUGGUUUUCCAAGGACUAUAUGCUUAUGGAUAGUUUUAAGAUCCUCUGUAUAAACUAUAUUCUUUCCUAAAAUUGGUUGUUGAGAACAAGUCUAGGUUUAUAAUAGUUCUUUCCCCACACACCUUUCUUAUAAAAGAUAUAUAGAAGUUUUACCCAUCCCAAAUUUCAGUAUGAUACAUCGCCCUUAACUUGACACCCAAAAACCCAGGUGUAGCAUACUGAAAAUUUCCUCUAAUGAUAAUAAUUAAUCUGUAGAGCUUGGGGCUUUCCUUUCUGAAAUACAUAUUAAAGGUGAAUAUGAUGUUAAUAAGGUAGAAAUGGGGCUUUUGGACUCCCAUGUAGAUUUUCAAAAUUCAAGUAUGGUAAAGUGAAAUGAUGGGCAUUUCAAUUUUGAUUUCCUUUUCUUUCUCCUGAUUUUUAUUAAAGAAUGUGUUGCUCUUGAAGGAAAAUCCUGAGAGAGUAAUACAAUGAGACAUUUGUUAAGAGACAUCAAAUACCCAAAAUGGCUUCUUUGUGUGAUUUUUUUUUUAAGUUGUCAGUGGACCUUUAUUUAUUUACAUGUGGUGCUGAGAAUCGAACCCAGUGCCUCCACAUGCUAGGCAAGCACUCUACCACUGAGCCACAACCACAGCCCUCUUCAAGUGAUUUUUAAGCAGUUGUUUUUCACUAUUUCAAUAUCUAUCCCUAGGUUGUAUCUUUACUAGGAAGAAGUUACUAGAAGUAACUUGGAACAGCUGGAUCAGCAUAGAUUUGCAAUGCUGAUUUAUUGUAAUUAAUUAAUUAAUUUUGAGACUGAGUCUUUCUAUGUUGCCCAGCCUGGCCUCAAACUCUCAGAUUCAACCUAUCCUCCUGCCUCAGCCUCCCAAGAAACUGGGACUAAAGGCAUGCACCACCGUACCUGGUUUACUGAUUAUUUUACAUGUAACCAGUAAAUUUUACAUGUAACCAGUGUAAAAUGUGUGUGAUUUGGUUAAAUCCAAGGAUUAAAAAAAAACUUUCAUGUGGAUUCUUCCAUAUUUGAUGUGCAUUAGUUAACAAAAUUGUCAAAACCUGUUGUAUCAACUAAUGGCAUGAGAUUUUUAUCCAAUUACAGUCAAUUAUCAUCAUCUUUUCUCUUCUAAAAAUGUUUAUUAUCUUUUUCAUAAUUGCAACAAAAAAUGUAUGUGCUGUCAGAUUGAUUAGCAGCCUAGAACUUUUCUAUGAUUAGUGGAGUUUCUGAUUUUUACACUAGUUCUUACGUAAUUAUUGUUCAAAGGUAGUCAACAGUGUUCAAUAGCUGCACAUUAUUUCUCUAGAGAUAGGAUGUACUUUGUAUCAUUUUUUUCUUGUAUAACAUGAGGGUAUAUUGAUCAUCUUGUUUUUACAGUUUAUUUAAACAUGCAAAAAUUGAUUAUAUUAGAUCUGUAUUAUCUUGAUUUUUAUUGUUUUU